rnacentral:rRNA from 1 species
UCCCAGCUGUAAACGAUGCGGGCUAGGUGUCGGUGUGGCUACGAGCCACUCCGGUGCCGCAGGGAAGCUCUUAAGCCCGCCGCCUGGGAAGUACGGUCGCAAGGCUGAAACUUAAAGGAAUUGGCGGGGGAGCACCACCAGGGGUGAAGCUUGCGGUUCAAUUGGAGUCAACGCCGGGAACCUUACCGGGGGCGACAGCAGGUU